UCCGCCACUCCGCCUGACACUAGGUCUCAACCUCUGUUGAUUUGAGCAGGUGAGCAAAGUCUCAGGUGUUGUGGCGG
rnacentral:pre_miRNA from 1 species